ACCAGCAUCAUAUGAGGUCGUAAAAGACGAUGUCAGAUCUUUAGAUGACCUAAAAUCCAGCGCUUGAACCAGCAUCAUAUGAGGUCGUCACAGACGAUGUCAGAUCUUAAGGUGACCUAAAAUCCAGCGCUUGAACCAGCAUCAUAUGAGGUCGUCACAGACGAUGUCAGAUCUUUAGGUGACCUAAAAUCCAGCGCUUGAACCAGCAUCAUAUGAGGUCGUCAAAGACGAUGUCAGAUCUUUAGAUGACCUAAAAUCCAGCGCUUGAACCAGCAUCAUAUGAGGUCGUCACAGACGAUGUCAGAUCUUAAGAUGACCUAAAAUCCAGCGCUUGAACCAGCAUCAUAUGAGGUCGUCACAGACGAUGUCAGAUCUUAAGAUGACCUAAAAUCCAGCGCUUGAACCAGCAUCAUAUGAGGUCGUCACAGACGAUGUCAGAUCUUUAGGUGACCUAAAAUCCAGCGCUUGAACCAGCAUCAUAUGAGGUCGUCACAGACGAUGUCAGAUCUUUAGGUGACCUAAAAUCCAGCGCUUGAACCAGCAUCAUAUGAGGUCGUCACAGACGAUGUCAGAUCUUUAGGUGACCUAAAAUCCAGCGCUUGAACCAGCAUCAUAUGAGGUCGUCACAGACGAUGUCAGAUCUUUAGGUGACCUAAAAUCCAGCGCUUGAACCAGCAUCAUAUGAGGUCGUCACAGACGAUGUCAGAUCUUUAGGUGACCUAAAAUCCAGCGCUUGAACCAGCAUCAUAUGAGGUCGUCACAGACGAUGUCAGAUCUUUAGGUGACCUAAAAUCCAGCGCUUGAACCAGCAUCAUAUGAGGUCGUCACAGACGAUGUCAGAUCUUUAGGUGACCUAAAAUCCAGCGCUUGAACCAGCAUCAUAUGAGGUCGUCACAGACGAUGUCAGAUCUUUAGGUGACCUAAAAUCCAGCGCUUGAACCAGCAUCAUAUGAGGUCGUCACAGACGAUGUCAGAUCUUUAGUUGACCUAAAAUCCAGCGCUUGAACCAGCAUCAUAUGAGGUCGUCACAGACGAUGUCAGAUCUUUAGGUGACCUAAAAUCCAGCGCUUGAACCAGCAUCAUAUGAGGUCGUCACAGACGAUGUCAGAUCUUUAGGUGACCUAAAAUCCAGCGCUUGAACCAGCAUCAUAUGAGGUCGUCACAGACGAUGUCAGAUCUUUAGGUGACCUAAAAUCCAGCGCUUGAACCAGCAUCAUAUGAGGUCGUCACAGACGAUGUCAGAUCUUUAGGUGACCUAAAAUCCAGCGCUUGAACCAGCAUCAUAUGAGGUCGUCACAGACGAUGUCAGAUCUUUAGGUGACCUAAAAUCCAGCGCUUGAACCAGCAUCAUAUGAGGUCGUCACAGACGAUGUCAGAUCUUAAGAUGACCUAAAAUCCAGCGCUUGAACCAGCAUCAUAUGAGGUCGUCAAAGACGAUGUCAGAUCUUUAGAUGACCUAAAAUCCAGCGCUUGAACCAGCAUCAUAUGAGGUCGUCACAGACGAUGUCAGAUCUUUAGAUGACCUAAAAUCCAGCGCUUGAA